AACCCAUGAUGAGGACACCUUUUCAAAAGAUCCUUAACUCUCUCCCGUGCAUUACAUAGUGUCUCAAGCUCAAAUUGAGAAAAAAAAGAGAAAUUAUUCCUCAACUU
rfam:Gossypium raimondii chromosome 3, whole genome shotgun sequence.